ensembl:snRNA U6 U6 spliceosomal RNA
UGCUGGCUUCAGCAGCACUUAUACUAAAUCGGAAGGAUACAGAGAAGAUUAUCAUGGUCCCUGCGCAAGGAUGACAGGCAAAUUCGUCAAGAGUUCUGUAUUUUU